rnacentral:misc_RNA from 1 species
AUGCAGUCCAGAAAAUUUUUCCGGGGAGAGGGGAAGUCCAAGGUGAAUUUUGAUUUCGGGGGGGGGGGGGGAGGGUUGAAGGCCUUAUUUUGAUAAUUUUACAAUGUAAGUUAAAUUAGUUUGAUAAGUCCAGACCCCUCCUCGACCCCCUUCUAGAUCCGCGCAUGAUACGGUUUAUCCUGAGCCGCCGUUUGGAGGGUUCUAGAUGUCCGGCCUAGGGCGUGAGCUCAGGGAGUACGGGAUUGGUGGUUAUUAAGAGGUCAAGUCGGUAAGACAUUCACCACAAUCAAUUUUGUUUAUUGCACCCUCAUUUAAGAAUAUUUACAUUAUGAAUACACUACGAAUUUGUAAUGUAUGGUUUAAUACAUUUCACAUUGAUGAAAUGUUUGUUUAUCUAUAUGCCUAUUUUCGAUCAUAUUACUAUGUGAAUUGAAUUAAUUACUUUAAUUAACCCAUUCCCCCCCCCCCCCCCCCUUAGAUCUGCGCAUGCUGUGCAACAAACGGUUUGUUUAUUAAUUGUGAUUAACACAGUAAUCUACCCAAUUCAGUUCAAAUGCUUCUAGAAAUGCAUAUGGAUUUCUUUCUUGAAGAACAAUUUAUAUUGUAUUUUUUCCUGUACUUAACUAUGUAAUCGUGUUGGGGUCAAACAUAUUAUCUCUCAGCUUUUUUUGCUACAAUUGAUGAUUUAAAAACAAGACUAUUCAGCUUUGUGAUAUCUGUGCGUACUUUAAUGAUUGUUUUUACUUUUGUGAUGAUUGUACAUACCUUUGCGUUUUGUUCCUUGACUAUACAUUAUGAGCCAAACUCUAACACAAAUCAUGACCUCCCCCCUCCUGCAUACAAUCCAAAUUACACAGUACACACUUUUUACCCAUUCUGAUGUUUGACCCUCAAUAAAUUGUUCAAUAUUUGUAACCAAAUACAGGGCUAUGUGUCAGUUUGGAAAUUUACCUGACUCUAUCUGCACAUCUUAGGGACUAUAUAAAAUUGUGAUACCCCAUAUGCACAGAAAAUCAAUUGGAAUUUAUUACUUUUGCCACAUGUUGCAACUUUUGUAUUUGCACAUUUAUAAAGUGGCUUUUUAUCAUUGGUAAAUCAAUUUUAAUGCACACUGAUAACACACCUUCUAUAAAACAUCGUAUAAAAGUAUAUGCUUGAGAUUAUAAUUUCUCUAGCCUCUACCAUAAUAGGUAAGUAAAUUUCUCGCUUUUCUAUCGUUGUAUCAGUUGGAAAUUCUUAGGAAUUUUUGAUACACUGAAAUUACACCAGAAACAUAUUUUGUUUGGAUGUGGGAUACGGUUAGUUUGUUAAAUCAAUUAAAUUAAUAUAAUUUUUUUAAAAAUAUUUUUUGAAUAAGUAUGUACUAGUAUGUGAUUACGACAAACAUUUCUGGUACUCAUUAUUUGCUUGUAGGCCUCUUUUUCAGAAUAAAAGAUCUUAAUUUAAUUGCAGAAAGAACUCAUUGUGUUCCUCUGUUAUUAUCCUUGCGGUUGCCGUAGAUACGCUUAGUUUGCGCCCCUCGGGUUGCCUUGGAGACAUCUUGUGGAGCAAGGAGAUGGCCAACCCGCUGAGGCUUCUGGGAGAGGUGCUGAUGGAGCUGGUGAAGAUCAUUGUCCUACUUCUGUGGGUGCCGGUCCGCGCCGUACUGAAGAAUAUAGUGUACGUCCCGUCCUCACGGAGAGGCCCGCGGUGAAUCACGCUAACACGGACCUGUGCAUAGUGGUUUUGUGUCAGCAAUUCAGAACGAUUCAUUACGACAGAGUCGAUGUUUGAUUAGUUAUAAAGUGAACCUAUUCGUUUUUUCACAUAAAUCAACAGUGUUUAUGCCUUGAACAUAUAGAUAAAUUUGUAUACAUAUAAAGUCGGAUAAAACAA